rnacentral:rRNA from 1 species
AUCGAUUAAAAGUUGAAUCAAUUUUUCCGUAAGUGAACCUGCGGAUUGAUUAUU